rnacentral:ncRNA from 1 species
CAAAGGCUUGGUCCUGACUUUAGUAUCAGCUUUAACCAAAUUUACACAUGCAAGUAUCUGCACCCCUGUGAGAAUGCCCCAACCCCUCCCCGCCCGGGAGCAAGGAGCUGGUAUCAGGCACACUAAAUGUAAGCCCACGACACCUUGUUUAGCCACACCCCCAAGGGAAUCCAGCAGUGAUUAAUUUUAAGCUAUAAGUGAAAACUUGACUUAGUUACGGUUAAGAGAGCCGGUAAAACUCGUGCCAGCCACCGCGGUUAUACGAGAGGCCCAAGUUGAUAAUCGUCGGCGUAAAGAGUGGUUAUGAAACAUAUUUACUAAAGCCGUACUCCUUCAGGGCUGUGAUACGCUUACGAAGGUCAGAAGCUCACCCACGAAAGUGGCUUUAUUAUUUCUGAUGCCACGAAAGCUAUGGCACAAACUGGGAUUAGAUACCCCACUAUGCUUAGUCGUAAACCUCGGUAGGCCCGUCACACCCAACCUACCCGCCUGGACAUUACGAGCACUAGCUUAAAAUCCAAAGGACUUGGCGGUGCUUUAGACCCCCCUAGAGGAGCCUGUUCUGUAACUGAUAAUCCUCGUUUAACCUCACCUCUCCUUGUCAAUCCCGUCUAUAUACCGCCGUCGUAAGCUAACCCUGUGAAGGACUAGUAGUUAGCACAAUUGGUUCAACCAAAAACGUCAGGUCGAGGUGUAGCGAAUGGAGGGGGAAGAAAUGGGCUACAUUCUCUGAAGUAGAGCAUACGGAUGAUGAACUGAAAACUCAUCUGAAGGUGGAUUUAGCAGUAAGUGGGAAGUAGAGUGUCCCACUGAAGCCGGCUCUAAAGCGCGCACACACCGCCCGUCAUUCUCUCCGAAAUUACCGAUCGCAAUAACUAAAAAGUUAGAAUAGUUAGAGGGGAGGCAAGUCGUAACAUGGUAAGGGUACCGGAAGGUGCACUUGGAAGAAUUUAU